UAACCUAAAAAGUUUUUAUUUUAAGUCGCCUGACGAGUAUCGUAACUUCAUAAUACGAAUUAUUGAAACGGGAAAUAACAACGCUGAAUAUCAAAAUAAAUGUCUCAGAAGUUUAAAACUUACUAUUCUAGCAAAUAGUGGUCUCCCACCUGACGAAGAAAAUGAGAGGAGAAAAGUUUCUUUGAAAUGCAGUAUACGUGCGAUUGUCUGGAAAAUUUUUCUUUGUGUAGGCCCGCUAUCUGUGGAAAAUUAUCUUUCUCUCCUUGUAAAAUCCGAAGUAUAUGAUAAAAUAAAUUAUGACCUUCCAAGAACCGUAAAACUUUUAGAACAGAAAGAUAUUUUUUAUAAUAAACAAGAAUUUAUUGAGCUGCUCUCUAGAAUUCUUAACGCUUUCGCUAAUAACCAAACAGAUAAGGAAAACUACAGUUACGUACAAGGAAUGAACUGGCUAUGCGGAAUUUUUUGCAUUAUUAUGCCAGAGGCUUUUUUUUUAUUUUUUUAAUUAUAAGAUUUUCAUAACUUAUUUUUUAUAUUUUUUAGAAUUUAAUUUCAUU